UCCUUACGGGGGAGACAGUCAUGAGACGUGAGUAUAAGACCUGAGUGUAAAGACCUUAGGGUGAAGCAAUUGGAGGGCAAGCUUUGGUGCCAGCAGCCGCGGUAACUCCAACUCCAAGAGUGUAUAUGGUGGAUGCUGCAGUUAAAGGGUCCGUAGUCGUGAAUGCAAUUAAAUGUCGUUGUUCAAUAGCGAUGAGUUUGCUAAUGUUUGCGGAACGGAUAGGGAGUGUAGUAUAGACUGGCGAAGAAUGAAAUCUCAAGACCCAGUUUGGACUAACGGAGGCGAAGGCGACACUCUUAGACGUAUCUUAGGAUCAAGGACGAAGGCAGGAGUAUCGAAAGUGAUUAGACACCGCUGUAGUUCCUGCAGUAAACUAUGCCGACAGCCUGUGUGUGAGAAUACGUGGGCGGGAGAAAUCUUAGUGUUCGGGCUCUGGGGAUAGUACGCUCGCAAGGGUGAAACUUAAAGCGAAAUUGACGGAAGGACACUACCAGGAGUGGAUUGUGCUGCUUAAUUUAACUCAACGCGGGAAAACUUACCAGGGUCAAGUCAUUCGUUGAUCGAAUACGUGAGAAUGGCAGGA
rnacentral:rRNA from 1 species